ACGCUCGACACCUACGGAGGCAGCAGUGGGGAAUAUUGCACAAUGGAGGAAACUCUGAUGCAGCGAUGCCGCGUGAGGGAAGAAGGUUUUCGGAUUGUAAACCUCUGUCUUUGGGGACGAUAAUGACGGUACCCAAGGAGGAAGCUCCGGCUAACUACGUGUCAGCAGCCGCGGUAAUCUGAGCGGGCUGGCAAGGC
rnacentral:rRNA from 1 species